rnacentral:rRNA from 1 species
GCAUAUCAAUAAGCGGAGGAAAAGAAACCCAACAGGGAUUGCCCCAGUAAACGGCGAGUGAAGCGGCAACAGCUCAAAUUUGAAAUCUGGCCCCCCCGGCCCGAGUUGUAAUUUGCAGAGGAUGCUUUUGGUGAGGCACCUACCGAGUCCCCUGGAAUGGGGCGCCAUAGAGGGUGAGAGCCCCGUAUGGUAGGACGCCGAACCUCUGUAAAGCUCCUUCGACGAGUCGAGUAGUUUGGGAAUGCUGCUCUAAAUGGGAGGUAAAUUUCUUCUAAAGCUAAAUACCGGCCAGAGACCGAUAGCGCACAAGUAGAGUGAUCGAAAGAUGAAAAGCACUUUGAAAAGAGGGUUAAAAAGUACGUGAAAUUGUUGAAAGGGAAGCGCUUGUGACCAGACUUGCGCCGGGCGGAUCAUCCAGCGUUCUCGCUGGUGCACUCCGCCCGGUUCAGGCCAGCAUCGGUUUUCGCCGGGGGACAAAGGCUUCGGGAACGUGGCUCCUUUCGGGGAGUGUUAUAGCCCGUUGCGUAAUACCCCGGCGGGGACCGACGACCGCGCUUCGGCAAGGAUGCUGGCGUAAUGGUCAUCAGCGACCCGUCUUGAAACACGGACCGAGGAGUCAAGCAUUAGUGCGAGUGUUUGGGUGUAAAACCCGCACGCGUAAUGAAAGUGAACGUAGGUGAGAGCUUCGGCGCAUCAUCGACCGAUCCUGAUGUUUUCGGAAGGAUUUGAGUAGGAGCAUUAACGCUUGGACCCGAAAGAUGGUGAACUAUACUUGAAUAGGGUGAAAGCCAGAGGAAACUCUGGUGGAGGCUCGCAGCGGUUCUGACGUGCAAAUCGAUUCGUUCAAAUUUGAAGUAUAGGGGCGAAAGACUAAUCGAACCAUCUAGUAGCUGGGUUUCAGCCG